rnacentral:misc_RNA from 1 species
GGAAGUGUGAGUUAAGUAGAAGAUGAGAAAAGUGCCGAAUUUUUCUUUUAUUAUUGAAAAAUGUGUCCAGAGUAACUAGAAUGUUAUCAUAAUGCGAUAACUUCAGAUUAUACUUUAGAUUAAUAAAAUAUUGAAAGACUGCAUACCUAAGUCUUAUUUCUGAAGAAAUCUUCCAUCAAUUCAGCUGCGUGCGUCCAACAUUUUUGGACUUUGUUGCGUUAUCGCUUUAACCCUAAACUGGAUGGAAUCAUGGAAUGUAGAAAACGAAUCCAUGUAGCCAACCCUAACUGGUUGUGGAUUAAGCCUUGGUUGACUUGGGUUACCUUAUUUGUUUUGAUUGAUUCUGAUUUCACUUGAAUUAUUUCAAAGUAGAUCUUUUUUAUGCUCGUAUUUUAUUCUUAAAAUAUGCAAAUGUGAAAUAUAGGGAAAAGAGAUACAAAAUAACUUCAUUUCAUUUGAUGGUUCAUUGGCAAGGUAUUAUGCAGCUCAUGCUUUUGUGUUGUUUCAUGGCAUGGGUAUCACUUUAUCAUUGUCUAGGUGAAUAUAAAGUUCUAAUUAAGAACCAUUACCCCUACGCCAUUGACCAGCUGUAGUGCCAUACACUCUAGCUUCUCUUGUGUGAGAUGGGACAUCCUUGGAUAAACUGAGUAUUUACAUAGGUUCAGAAUUAAAAGAUGAAUGGAUCUGAAUUAUCCCCAACAUGGGAUUAUCAGAAUCAGUUAGCAGGGUCCUUAUUUAUUGUUUGAGGUGGUUCAAAUAUAGGAUGUAAAGGAGGUGUAGAAGUUAGCAAUCAUCUUUGUUUCUUUGGUGAUGAGUGGUGCUAUCUUCCUCUACUCAGAUUAUGGGUGCUGCCAUUUAAUUGACUGGCUUUUCCCUUUAUUUUCUUAUGUAUCAGCUGUUUCCUACAAUUACCUUUACAAGAACCAGUCAUUGGUAUGCUUUCUAUUGUUUAACUUAUGCUCCAUCAAGAUUUUCCAGCUUUCUGAAACUCCCUUUCUUUUGCAUCUUUCAGAUACAGUAUUGAAGCUUGACACUUUAGUUGGUGAUAUUGAAGAUGCUGUAUCUUCUGCUAUAAACAAAAACCUAAGGAAGCAGUCCUCUACACAGAGUUCAGAAGUGUGUGUGAUUCAUUUGUUAUCAACUUUAAUUUUGUAGCAAAUAUUUUCUUUCUUACUCCAAUUGUUAAGUUUUGUAUUUGCAGGAAAUACGCCUGCUUGCUAUUGAAACACUUGGACAAACGGAAAAUAUUUUAACGUCUAUCAGAAAGACGCCCCCUCAGUGUACACGUCUUAUAUCGGCAGUUGAUCACAGAAUGGAUAAAGCUUUGGCCAUUUUAAGACCUCAGGCAGUUGCAGAUCAUUGCUCCCUUCUUGUUUCCCUUGGAUGGCCACCACCACUUUCCACCAUGACUUCCUCAAACCUUGACAUAGGGAAAUCGAAUGAAGUCCCCAAUCCUCUCUUCACAAUGCAAGGGGACCUCAAACACAAGUACUGUGAAAACUUUCUUGCCUUGUGCCACUUGCAAGAGCUGCAGAGGCAAAGAAAAUCUUGGCAACUUGAGCGCCACAAUAGAGAAGUUGCUCUGCACCUACCACUUUGGGCAAUCGAAGAACUUGUGAAUCCUAUCUCAAUUGCAUGCCAAAAACAUUUUUCAAAGUGGACUGAUAAGCUGGAUUUCAUUUUUGCUCUUGUGUAUAAGAUUACAAGGGAUUAUGUUGACACUAUGGAUGAAUUAUUGCAACUGUUAGUUGAUGAAGCAAGGCUAGUAGGGUACAGUUGCAGAGAAGAAUGGAUUUCAGCAAUGGUAACCUCUUUAUCAACAUACUUAGCAAAAGAGAUAUUCCCUAAUUAUAUCAGUCAACUAAAUGAAGAGAGCACCGCUGGCAUCCAAUCACAGGCUAGAAUAUCGUGGCUCCAUCUUGUUGACUUGAUUAUUGCUUUUGAUAAAAGAAUUCAGUCUCUGGUAACAACACACUCUGGAAUCAUGCUUUCCCUUGAGGAAAAUGAAAACUUGCAGAAGAUUUCUUCUCUGUCUAUGUUCUGUGACCGACCUGACUGGCUUGAUCUAUGGGCAGAAAUAGAGCUUAUUGACACACUUGAGAAACUAAAACCUGAGGUGGAAAAUGAGCGAAAUUGGACAGUGAAAAUUCAAGGGGCUGCUCUUUUAUCUGGUUCUGAAUAUUACAAAUAUCCUGCACUUUCUGGUGCCUUCCUUCGGCAUCUAUCAUUGGUAGUUGAUUGAUGUCAGUCACUGCCUAACGGCUCUUUGAGGUCAAGGUUUCUCAGGUUGGCUGGUGCACCUUUUCUAAAGAGAUUUUUGGAUUGUGUCCUUCUGAGGUGCCAAGAGGCUGAAGGGCUGACUGCAUUAACAGAUGAUGAUGCUCUAAUCAAAGUUGUAAAUUCCAUAAAUGCUGCUCACUACAUUGAGUCUGUUUUGAAUGAAUGGUGUGAGGACAUUUUUUCCCUUGAAAUGAGAUUUGAUCAUGGUGAGCAACUGGGUAUAUCAAUUGAUGACAAUGAAAGCAGGGAGGUGCCAAUUGAUGGACCUGUUAGUGACAUUUUUGAUGAGGAGACAAGAAAGUAGGGGGAUUUUAGAAAAGAGUGGAUUGAGAAGAUAUCAGUUGUUGUUUUGAAGGGCUUUGAUGCUAGGUGUCAAGAUUAUAUGUAAAACAGAGGCAGUGGCAGGACAAGGGUGAAGAAGGUUGGACAGUUUCCAAAAAUUUUGUUGGGGCUUUAGAUUAUUCACAAGGAAAGAUGGCAGUAGUGGAAGAAAAUUUGAAUGGGAUAGAUUUUGUUGGUGUAUGGAGAAGUUUGGCCGCUCGAGUCGAUUGCUUGCUUUUCAAUGGUAUUAUUAUGAGCAAUGUGAAGUUUCAUGAUUGUGGCAUUGAAAGGUUUAGUCAUGACUUGGACGUUUUGUUUGGGGUAUUUGGAGCUUGGUGCUUGAGGCCUGAAGGAUUUUUCCCCAAAUUAAGUGAUGGCUUGAAGUUGUUAAAAAUGGGGGAGGAGAAGCUUCAAUGUAGUUUGAUAGGAGGAGAGAAAUGGAUGAAGACGAAUGGAAUCAGACAUUUGGGUGUAGCCGAGUCUGAGAAGAUACUAAACAGUAGGGUAUCCAUGGGUUAAGGGCUUUCCCAACUAGACAUCUUUUUCUUAGCAUUGAUCACCCUAAGGAUUAGCGAAAAAGAGAGGUUCAUUCAUCUUACUGAUGCAAUUGUACAAAUUUUUUGUUGUACGUGACUCGGGCUCAUGGACUGACCUAUU